AUGAGUUGUUCAAUUGUUUAAUUUCAGAGCUGCAAGGUCGGCAAGGAAAAACAGCCCUAGCCUACCGAGUAUCCGCAAAGUAUAAAUUGAUAGGCGAGCGACAGUCAGCGAGUAGUUUGACAGCGAUUAAAAACUCAAACCAAAAUCAGACUUUAAAGUUAUGAAGGCUGCUCUUCAAGAGCUAACAUCGACUUCACGAUCACUUGGAAAACCCUCAUCUCUUAAAUUAGCUUUGGAGCUUUCUGUCAAACGGAGGCAUCAGUAGCAUCAGCAAGACUCAGAAGAUGAUCAUUAUAAUAUCUCUGCAAACAGAAAACGACAGCUUGAAAACAGUCACGUAUCUUGCAUCCCAGAAAGAACUUAACAACAUCGCAGAAGAAACCUAACAACAUCCCAAAAGGAACCUAACUACAUCGCAGAAGGAACCUAACAACAUCGCAGAAGGAACCUAACAACAUCCCAGAAGUAUCAUCAUAUCCCAGAAGAAACCUAACAACAUCCUAAAAGGAACCUAACAACAUUGCAGAAGAAACCUAACAACAUCCCAAAAGGAACCUAACUACAUCGCAGAAGGAACCUAACUACAUCGCAGAAGGAACCUAACAACAUCGCAGAAGGAACCUAACAACAUCCCAGAAGUAUCGUCAUAUCCCAGAAGAAACCUAACAACAUCCUAAAAGGAACCUAACAACAUCGCAGAAGAAACCUAAAAACAUCCCAAAAGGAACCUAACUACAUCGCAGAAGGAACCUAACUACAUCGCAGAAGGAACCUAACAACAUCGCAGAAGGAACCUAACAACAUCCCAGAAGUUAUCAUCAUAUCCCAGAAGAAACCUAACAACAUCCUAAAAGGAACCUAAUAACAUCGCAGAAGAAACCUAACAACAUCCCAAAAGGAACCUAACUAUAUCGCAGAAGGAAUCUAACAACAUCACAGAAAGAUUGAAAGAACUUGACAACAUCUUAGAAGAAACCUAACAUCCCAGAAGGAACUUAACAACGUCCCAUAAGGCACCUAACAACUCAGAAGGAACUUAACAACGUCCCAGAAGGGAACUAACAAUAUCCCAAAAGGAACCUAAAAUUAUCGCAGAAUGAACUUGACAACAUCUUAGAAAGAACCUAACGGCUAACAUCCCAUAAGGAACCUUAAAACAUCCCAGAAGGAACCCAACAUCGCAGAAGUUACCUGACAACAUCUUCUAGAAGGAACCUAACAUCCCAGAAGGAAUCUAACAACAAUAUAUCAAAUAAGGAACUGUUAACACUAGCAUGCUAAUAAUUUAACCCGAACGUAGCAGAACGUAUUUCUAUGCAAUAAACUUUAUCAAUGUGCUCCUUAUAUUAUGUAGACAUGAGAUUUUACAGUAAAGACAUAUCUAGAACUGCUAUGCUCUAGACGUGAUAUAGCAACACCAAAAUAUGUUAAUGAAAACAAAAUCAAAAUUGCGAAUAUAAUAUAAUAGGUUGAAUUGAAUCGGGAUGCCUUUUUUAACUUUUAUUUUCAAGCUCUCGAAUUUUUGAAUGAAAAAACCCUUUAUGUAGUAUAUUGUCGCGGGUUCUUUUUGCUUUAACUUUUAUGUCAGAUAAGCUUUCUGGGUAAAUUAGAUUAAGCAUCAACAAAAAUAUAUCUCAAUACUUUCUCAAUUUAAAUUUGAUUAGUUUAAUGUAGACAGCUUGCAGUUCAUUUCUUAUGAGAAACGAUGUUGUCUUAUUUGACCUAUUUAAUAUACUUGUAUAAUUAUAAGACUUGAGAUUGGACGGUUAAGCUUAUCAAGAACUGCUAUGAUCUAGUGACCAAUUUAAGAUUUCGAAUAUAAUUUAAUAGGUUGAUUUAAAUCGGAAUGCCGUUUUUUAACUUUUAUUUUCAAGCUCUAAGAUUUUUUAGAUACCUUUUCAAAAACAUUUUCGACUCUGUUUUGCUUUAAUUUGUAUGUUUCAUGCUUUCUGGGGAUUAGG